UACGAAGGGGGCUAGCGUUGUUCGGAAUUACUGGGCGUAAAGCGCGUGUAGGCGGGUCUUUAAGUCAGGGGUGAAAUGCCAAGGCUCAACCUUGGAACUGCCUUUGAUACUGAGGAUCUUGAGUUCGGGAGAGGUGAGUGGAACUGCGAGUGUAGAGGUGAAAUUCGUAGAUAUUCGCAAGAACACCAGUGGCGAAGGCGGCUCACUGGCCCGAUACUGACGCUGAGGCACGAAAGCGUGGGGAGCAAACAGG
rnacentral:rRNA from 1 species